CAUGCCUUCCCCAGGAUUUUUCAGUUAGGCAAAGGGGGAGAAGCUAUCCUCUUUGGGAAGUCACUGUUCCACAGGGAGGUGAGAGACUCUUAGCCACCAGAGCACGAGGAGAGAAUGAAGACAGAAAUAAGGGGAGAGGAAGCCAGACCUGGUGACUGAGUCUUGCUGAAACUGCUUGCCUCACCUAGAUAAGACACAUCUUCAUGGGUCCUAACAGGAUAGAAGGCCAUCGUGGGCAAGUUGCCCUUCCCAAUACCAUAAAGCCCCAAACUCCUGGGAACUUAGCUGCUACACUGGGGAGAAGGAGCAAGAGGAUCCUUCAUGUGACUCUCAGAUGCCAUCAGCGAGAUUGUGCUGCGUCUCCUCCUCCCCCCACCUGGUCUGCGAUGCCGCCUUGAAGCGCAGUUUUUGCCUCAUCAUCAGCCUUUCCUGUGCACCUGCCCGCUGUCCUGGGCUUUGAGGACACAAAGGCACAGAGGACACUUUCUCUACUUCUGGAACUUUCUCAAAAGUCCGUGGGAGUGAGAACUGCAGGCAAAGGGACAGUGGCUGGUGAGAGCAGGGGCUGGAAGGGCUGUGAACGUGGGUGGAUAAGGAUGUGUCCGGACAUGGGGAGCUCGCGUACUCUGGUCGGAGGUUUUUUGCAGUGGAUUAAAGUCAAUGAAUGUUUAUUGAACUUCUACUAUGUGGUAGGCCCUGUGCUGAGCCCUGGAGGACACUGGGGUGAUGUGGACACAGAUUCUGUCCUCAUGGAGUUCACAGCCCAGAAGGCAAAUACAUCUAUAACUAAACAAAUCAAUGAGAAGAAUAUUUUGCUUGUGUUAAGUGCUAAGAAGGAAAUGAAUGUGGUGAUGAGAUUCACGGUGGGGUGAGGAAAAUUAUUUAGAUGGGAAAGGUCAGUGAAAG
ensembl:lncRNA